rnacentral:rRNA from 1 species
CGAACGGGUGAGUAAUACAUCGGAACGUGCCCAGUAGUGGGGGAUAACCCGGCGAAAGCCGGACUAAUACCGCAUACGACCUACGGGUGAAAGCAGGGGAUCGCAAGACCUUGCGCUAUUGGAGCGGCCGAUGUCAGAUUAGCUAGUUGGUGGGGUAAAAGCCCACCAAGGCGACGAUCUGUAGCUGGUCUGAGAGGACGACCAGCCACACUGGGACUGAGACACGGCCCAG